UCCGAAUGGGGAAACCCAGCAUGAGUUAUGUCAUGUUAUCGAUAUGUGAAUACAUAGCAUAUCAGAAGGCACACCCGGAGAACUGAAACAUCUUAGUACCCGGAGGAAGAGAAAGAAAAUUCGAUUCCCUUAGUAGCGGCGAGCGAAACGGGAAGAGCCCAAACCAACAAGCUUGCUUGUUGGGGUUGUAGGACACUCUAUACGGAGUUACAAAGGACGACAUUAGACGAAUCAUCUGGAAAGAUGAAUCAAAGAAGGUAAUAAUCCUGUAGUCGAAAAUGUUGUCUCUCUUGAGUGGAUCCUGAGUACGACGGAGCACGUGAAAUUCCGUCGGAAUCUGGGAGGACCAUCUCCUAAGGCUAAAUACUCUCUAGUGACCGAUAGUGAACCAGUACCGUGAGGGAAAGGUGAAAAGCACCCCGGAAGGGGAGUGAAAUAGAACCUGAAACCGUGUGCUUACAAGUAGUCAGAGCCCGUUAAUGGGUGAUGGCGUGCCUUUUGUAGAAUGAACCGGCGAGUUACGAUUUGAUGCAAGGUUAAGCAGUAAAUGUGGAGCCGUAGCGAAAGCGAGUCUGAAUAGGGCGUUUAGUAUUUGGUCGUAGACCCGAAACCAGGUGAUCUACCCUUGGUCAGGUUGAAGUUCAGGUAACACUGAAUGGAGGACCGAACCGACUUACGUUGAAAAGUGAGCGGAUGAACUGAGGGUAGCGGAGAAAUUCCAAUCGAACCUGGAGAUAGCUGGUUCUCUCCGAAAUAGCUUUAGGGCUAGCCUCAAGUGAUGAUUAUUGGAGGUAGAGCACUGUUUGGACGAGGGGCCCCUCUCGGGUUACCGAAUUCAGACAAACUCCGAAUGCCAAUUAAUUUAACUUGGGAGUCAGAACAUGGGUGAUAAGGUCCGUGUUCGAAAGGGAAACAGCCCAGACCACCAGCUAAGGUCCCAAAAUAUAUGUUAAGUGGAAAAGGAUGUGGCGUUGCCCAGACAACUAGGAUGUUGGCUUAGAAGCAGCCAUCAUUUAAAGAGUGCGUAAUAGCUCACUAGUCGAGUGACACUGCGCCGAAAAUGUACCGGGGCUAAACAUAUUACCGAAGCUGUGGAUUGUCCUUUGGACAAUGGUAGGAGAGCGUUCUAAGGGCGUUGAAGCAUGAUCGUAAGGACAUGUGGAGCGCUUAGAAGUGAGAAUGCCGGUGUGAGUAGCGAAAGACGGGUGAGAAUCCCGUCCACCGAUUGACUAAGGUUUCCAGAGGAAGGCUCGUCCGCUCUGGGU
rnacentral:rRNA from 1 species